GCCUGUGGGUUGUAAACCUCUUUUCUCAGGGAAGAACUCUGACGGUACCUGAGGAAUAAGCAUCGGCUAACUCCGUGCCGGCAGCCGCGGUAAGACGGAGGAUGCAAGCGUUAUCCGGAAUUAUUGGGCGUAAAGCGUCCGUAGGCGGUCGAUUAAGUCUGCUGUCAAAGACUACAGCUCAACUGUGGAUAGGCAGUGGAAACUGAUUGACUAGAGUACGGUAGGGGUAGAGGGAAUUCCCAGUGUAGCGGUGAAAUGCGUAGAUAUUGGGAAGAACACCAGUGGCGAAGGCGCUCUACUGGGCCGUAACUGACGCUGAGGGACGAAAGCUAGGGGAGCGAAAGGGAUUAGAUACCCCUGUAGUCCUAGCUGUAAACGAUGGAUACUAGGUGUUGGCCGUAUCGACCCGGUCAGUAUCGAAGCUAACGCGUUAAGUAUCCCGCCUGGGGAGUACGCACGCAAGUGUGAAACUCAAAGGAAUUGACGGGGGCCCGCACAAGCGGUGGAGUAUGUGGUUUAAUUCGAUGCAACGCCGAAGAACCUUACCAGGGUUUUGACAUCCCGCGAACCUUUGUGAAAGCAGAGGGUGCCUUCGGGAGCGCGGAGACAGGUGGUGCAUGGCUGUCGUCAGCUCGUGUCGUGAGAUGUUGGGGUUAAGUCCCGCAACGAGCGCAACCCUUGUCCUUAGUUGCCAGCAUUCAGUUGGGCACUUUGAGGAGACUGCCGGGGACAACUCGGAGGAAGGUGGGGAUGACGUCAAGUCAUCAUGCCCCUUACGUCCUGGGCUACACACGUACUACAAUGCUCCGGACAGAGGGCAGCAAGCGUGCGAGCGCAAGCUAAUCCCAUAAACCGGGGCUCAGUUCAGAUUGCAGGCUGCAACUCGCCUGCAUGAAGGAGGAAUCGCUAGUAAUUGCAGGUCAGCAUACUGCGGUGAAUACGUUCCCGGGCCUUGUACACACCGCCCGUCACACCAUGGGAGUUGGCCACGCCCGAAGUGGUUACUAUAACCGUUCGCG
rnacentral:rRNA from 1 species